UACGUAGGUGACAAGCGUUGUCCGGAUUUACUGGGCGUAAAGAGCGCGCAGGCGGUCGUUCAAGUCGAGUGUGAAAGCCCCCGGCUCAACUGGGGAGGGUCACUCGAUACUGAUCGACUCGAAGGCAGGAGAGGGAAGUGGAAUUCCCGGUGUAGUGGUGAAAUGCGUAGAUAUCGGGAGGAACACCAGUGGCGAAGGCAGCUCGCUGGGACGGUACUGACGCUGAGGCGCGAAAGCGUGGGGAGCAAACAGG
rnacentral:rRNA from 1 species